rnacentral:rRNA from 1 species
AGCGGGAAGUAGUUUACUACUUUGCCGGCGAGCGGCGGACGGGUGAGUAAUGUCUGGGAAACUGCCUGAUGGAGGGGGAUAACUACUGGAAACGGUAGCUAAUACCGCAUAACGUCUUCGGACCAAAGUGGGGGACCUUCGGGCCUCACGCCAUCGGAUGUGCCCAGAUGGGAUUAGCUAGUAGGUGGGGUAAUGGCUCACCUAGGCGACGAUCCCUAGCUGGUCUGAGAGGAUGACCAGCCACACUGGAACUGAGACACGGUCCAGACUCCUACGGGAGGCAGCAGUGGGGAAUAUUGCACAAUGGGCGCAAGCCUGAUGCAGCCAUGCCGCGUGUGUGAAGAAGGCCUUCGGGUUGUAAAGCACUUUCAGCGAGGAGGAAGGCCAAUAACUUAAUACGUUGUUGGAUUGACGUUACUCGCAGAAGAAGCACCGGCUAACUCCGUGCCAGCAGCCGCGGUAAUACGGAGGGUGCAAGCGUUAAUCGGAAUUACUGGGCGUAAAGCGCACGCAGGCGGUUUGUUAAGUCAGAUGUGAAAUCCCCGCGCUUAACGUGGGAACUGCAUUUGAAACUGGCAAGCUGGAGUCUUGUAGAGGGGGGUAGAAUUCCAGGUGUAGCGGUGAAAUGCGUAGAGAUCUGGAGGAAUACCGGUGGCGAAGGCGGCCCCCUGGACAAAGACUGACGCUCAGGUGCGAAAGCGUGGGGAGCAAACA